GUAAGCAAUCUGUUUGCCAUCUGUUUGACACCUGCCGAUAAUCUUUGUCAAGGGAUUUCUAGAACUCUGCCAAUGCGGCCUGUCCCAUCUGUCUUUCAUUGGGCUGCUUCCUUUUUCUAGUCACAGGCUGUGCACCAUUCCGAGGCUUAAUCGAAGAGGGAGUGUGCCAGUCAGGUGGAGGUACUUAACAAACAUGAGCCUUCGAGCAAGCAAGAUAGAGGGAGGACUGGGACUGUGCGUUGUUCUUCGGGUGCCGAAAUAGCAACAAAGAUUUCUCUUUCCGAGAGGAUGGCGGACCCUUACCGAAAACGGGACCUUGCAACUGUUUACAGCCUUCUCAAGAGAUCAGGAGGAAAAGGUAUAUGUGCAACAUCGUUUGGUGGAAAACAGCGCGCUGGUCUGGGAUUUUCUGGUAAACAAACAAGGAUGGUGUUAUGUAGCAGGAAAUUCACAAAGAAUGCCUGCCGGUGUCACUGAGGCCUUAAUGGAAAUAUUCAUUAAAGAAGGGAAAAUGGACGAAAGUAGAGCAGAAGAAUUUCUCAAAAGUUUUGAAAGUACCAGACAUUUUCAAAGUGAAACGUGGUCAUAGUACUGACAAAGUAAGAGGACAAAAAACUGGAAAAAAGUAUUGUUGCUUAAUGGCGGAAAACUUGAGUGA